GUUAUGUUCUUUAAACUCUAAGAAUUUGGCGGCAUUUUAUCUAUUUAGAGGAACCUGUUCUGUAAUUGAUAAUUCACGAUUUAUUUUACUUAAUUUACUUGCUUAUAUAUCUCCGUUAUCAGAAAAUUUUUUUAGGAAGUUAAUUUUCAUUAUUUUUUAUAAGAUUUUAUUUCAGGUCAAGAUAUAGCUUAUAAUAAAGUAGACAUGGGUUACAAUAAAUCUAUUUAAAUGAAUGUUAAAAAGUAAUGUUUGGCUGAAGGUGGAUUUAAUAGUAAUAUAUUUAAUUUUAUUUAUAUGACUUUAGCUCUAUAAUGUGU
rnacentral:rRNA from 1 species